ACGCUCGACACCUACGGGAGCAGCAGUGGGGAAUAUUGCACAAUGGGGGAAACCCUGAUGCAGCGACGCCGCGUGAGUGAAGAAGUAAUUCGUUAUGUAAAGCUCUAUCAGCAGGGAAGAAAGUGACGGUACCUGAGUAAGAAGCCCCGGCUAACUACGUGUCAGCAGCCGCGGUAAUCUGAGCGGGCUGGCAAGGC
rnacentral:rRNA from 1 species